CCUACGGGAGGCAGCAGUGAGGAAUAUUGGUCAAUGGCCGGAAGGCUGACCCAGCCAUGCCGCGUGAAGGUCAGUGCCCUACGGGCGUUAAACUUCUGUUGUGCGGGAGCAAUAAUGGUCACGUGUGGCCAGACGAGACUACCGUACGAAUAAGCAUCGGCUAACACAGUGCGAGCAGCCGCGGUAAUACGGGGGAUGCAAGCGUUAUCCGGAUUUAUUGGGUUUAAAGGGUGCGUAGGCUGUGAGGUAAGUCAGCGGGGAAAUGCCCCCGCUCAACGGGGUGAAGUGCCAUUGAUACUGGCUGGCUAGAAUGCGGAUGCGGUGAGAGGAAUGUGUGGUGUAGCGGUGAAAUGCAUAGAUAUCA
rnacentral:rRNA from 1 species